rnacentral:rRNA from 1 species
GACGAACGCUGGCGGCGUGCUUAACACAUGCAAGUCGAACGGAAAGGCCCUGCUUUUGUGGGGUGCUCGAGUGGCGAACGGGUGAGUAACACGUGAGUAACCUGCCCUUGACUUUGGGAUAACUUCAGGAAACUGGGGCUAAUACCGGAUAGGAGCUCCUGCUGCAUGGUGGGGGGUGGAAAGUUUCGGCGGUUGGGGAUGGACUCGCGGCUUAUCAGCUUGUUGGUGGGGUAGUGGCUUACCAAGGCUUUGACGGGUAGCCGGCCUGAGAGGGUGACCGGCCACAUUGGGACUGAGAUACGGCCCAGACUCCUACGGGAGGCAGCAGUGGGGAAUAUUGCACAAUGGGCGGAAGCCUGAGGAAGCAACGCCGCGUGCGGGAUGACGGCCUUCGGGUUGUAAACCGCUUUCGCCUGUGACGAAGCGUGAGUGACGGUAAUGGGUAAAGAAGCACCGGCUAACUACGUG